rnacentral:misc_RNA from 1 species
UUUCCGUAGGUGAACCUGCGGAAGGAUCAUUAUUGAAUAAACUUGGUUAGGUCGUUGCUGGCUCUUAGGAGCAUGUGCACGCCGACUCCAUCUUUAACCACCUGUGCACCUUGCGUAGAUCUGAAGAUUUCGAGAACACUCGGUUUGAGAAUUGCUGUGCGUAAGCCAGCUCUUCUUGUAUUCAGGUCUAUGUUUUCACAUACCCCAUAUGAAUGUAUACGAAUGUUGCAAUUGGCCUUGUGCCUUUAAAACAAAUACAACUUUCAACAACGGAUCUCUUGGCUCUC